rnacentral:rRNA from 1 species
UACGUAGGGUGCAAGCGUUAAUCGGAAUUACUGGGCGUAAAGCGUGCGCAGGCGGUCUUAUAAGACAGAUGUGAAAUCCCCGGGCUCAACCUGGGAACUGCAUUUGUGACUGUAAGGCUUGAGUGCGGCAGAGGGGGAUGGAAUUCCGCGUGUAGCAGUGAAAUGCGUAGAUAUGCGGAGGAACACCGAUGGCGAAGGCAAUCCCCUGGGCCUGCACUGACGCUCAAGCACGAAAGCAUGGGGAGCAAACAGG